UCAACUGCAGUCUCGUCCCCUGUCAACUUCCACCACCCACUAACUAGCUAGUGGGUGGUGGAGGUUGACAGGGGAUGAGACUGCAGUUGA